rnacentral:rRNA from 1 species
UUGAACGCUGGCGGCAGGCCUAACACAUGCAAGUCGAGCGGCAGCGCGGGGCAACCUGGCGGCGAGCGGCGGACGGGUGAGUAACGCGUAGGAAUCUACCCAGUAGCGGGGGAUAGCCCGGGGAAACUCGGAUUAAUACCGCAUACGCCCUAAGGGGGAAAGCAGGGGAUCUUCGGACCUUGCACUAUUGGCAGAGCCUGCGUUGGAUUAGCUAGUUGGUAGGGUAAAGGCCUACCAAGGCAACGAUCCAUAACUGGUCUGAGAGGAUGAUCAGUCACACCGGAACUGAGACACGGUCCGGACUCCUACGGGAGGCAGCAGUGGGGAAUAUUGGACAAUGGGGGCAACCCUGAUCCAGCCAUGCCGCGUGUGUGAAGAAGGCCUUCGGAUUGUAAAGCACUUUAAGUCGGGAGGAAGGGCUGUAGGCUAAUACCUUGCAGUUUUGACGUUACCGACAGAAUAAGCACCGGCUAACUUCGUGCCAGCCGCCGCAGUAA